UACGUAGGAUGCAAGCGUUGUCCGGAAUACUGGGCGUAAAGCGUGCGCAGGCGGUGAUGUAAGACAGAUGUGAAAUCCCCGGGCUCAACCUGGGAACUGCAUUUGUGACUGCAUCGCUGGAGUGCGGCAGAGGGGGAUGGAAUUCCGCGUGUAGCAGUGAAAUGCGUAGAUAUGCGGAGGAACACCGAUGGCGAAGGCAAUCCCCUGGGCCUGCACUGACGCUCAUGCACGAAAGCGUGGGGAGCAAACAGG
rnacentral:rRNA from 1 species